UCAAAAAAGGAGUAUCAUCACCAGGACAUUCGUGGGCCGGGCAUGAGUGAAACCAAGCAUAUAUGAUGCCAUUGGCCAGCAUGCCGUUGAUGUACCUUAUGUGGGUGGGAAAAGGGAAUAUAAAUAUCUAUCCAGAUAUGGUGCCAUUGCACUAUCAUUGUCACCCCACGAGUUGAGUAGCUCCAAAAUUAAUAAGCUACAGAGCUACAUUUUUAAGGAGUGGAAAAGAAGUAUAUUGAGGAUAAUAUAACUGUGAUAAUAUAUGUUAUCAAGAGUAAUACGGUUCUGAUGUUAUCUUGAAAUAAUAGCAGUCGGAGGGGACAAAGUUUCCUUGUGGCAGUUUUAUGUUUGUGGUGAGUUAAGAGUAUCCCAUCCUCGCAAAAAAGUUAGUUAAGAGUAUCGCAUGAUCCAGUAACAUGUAACUGCGUGUUUUGCAUGUUGACUUUCCCAGGAGAUUCAAUUCUGAAUUUCCUCACUGCUCUAUGGAUCUAUUGUUG